GACGAACGCUGGCGGCGUGCUUAACACAUGCAAGUCGAACGGAAAGGCCCCUUUGGGGGUACUCGAGUGGCGAACGGGUGAGUAACACGUGAGUAACCUGCCCUUGACUUCGGGAUAACUUCAGGAAACUGGGGCUAAUACCGGAUAGGAAUCAUUAAUGCAUGGUGGGGGUUGGAAAGCUUCGGCGGAUUUGGAUGGACUCGCGGCUUAUCAGCUUGUUGGUGGGGUAUUGGCUUACAAAGGCUUUGACGGGUAGCCGGCCUGAGAGGGCGACCGGCGACAUGGGGACUGAGAGACGGCCCAGACUCCUACGGGAGGCAGCAGUGGGGAAUAUUGCACAAUGGGCGGAAGCCUGAUGCAGCAACGCCGCGUGCGGGAUGACGGCCUUCGGGUUGUAAACCGCUUUCAGCAGGGGCGAAGCUUGUGGUGACGGUACCUGCAGAAGAAGCACCGGCUAACUACGUG
rnacentral:rRNA from 1 species